CCUACGGGGGCUGCAGUGGGGAAUAUUGGACAAUGGGCGAAAGCCUGAUCCAGCCAUGCCGCGUGUGUGAAGAAGGCCUUCGGGUUGUAAAGCACUUUCAGUGGGGAAGAAAGCCUUGGGGCUAAUACCCUCGAGGAAGGACAUCACCCACAGAAGAAGCACCGGCUAACUCCGUGCCAGCAGCCGCGGUAAUACGGAGGGUGCGAGCGUUAAUCGGAAUUACUGGGCGUAAAGCGCGCGUAGGCGGUCUGAUAAGCCGGUUGUGAAAGCCCCGGGCUCAACCUGGGAACGGCAUCCGGAACUGUCAGGCUAGAGUGCAGGAGAGGAAGGUAGAAUUCCCGGUGUAGCGGUGAAAUGCGUAGAGAUCGGGAGGAAUACCAGUGGCGAAGGCGACCUUCUGGACUGACACUGACGCUGAGGUGCGAAAGCGUGGGUAGCAAACAGGAUUAGAUACCCCAGUAGUC
rnacentral:rRNA from 1 species